GGUGAACGUUGGCGGUGCGUCUAAUACAUGCAAGUCGAGCGAGGCUUCGAGCCGAGCGGCAGCCGGCUGAGUGACACGUUGGUAACUACCUCAAACUCAGGGAUAACUCCGAGAAAUCGGUGCUAAUACCGGAUGAUCCCGUAAGGGUAAAGUUUUUACGGUUUGAGAGGUGCCUGCGUCCUAUCAGGUAGUUGGUGAGGUAACGGCUCACCAAGCCUAUGACGGGUAACUGGUCUGAGAGGAUGACCAGUCAGAGGGAAACUGCGACACGGUUCCCACUUCUACGGAAGGCAGCAGUAAAGAAUCUUCCAAAAUGGACGGAAGUCUGAUGGAGCGACACCGCGUGAAGGAUGAAGGCCCUUGGGAAGUAAACUGCUUUUUUGGGGGAAAAAUUCUGAUUGAACCCUAAGAAUAAGAACCGGUAAAUCACGU
rnacentral:rRNA from 1 species